AACGAACGCUGGCGGCAUGCCUAACACAUGCAAGUCGAACGCCUGUAGCAAUACAGGAGUGGCAGACGGGUGCAAAACGCGUGGAAACCUAUCCUUGGGUUCGGAAUAACCGCGGGAAACUGCGGCUAAUCCCGGAUACGUCCUUCGGGGGAAAGAUUUAUCGCCCAUUGAGGGGUCCGCGUCUGAUUAGCUAGUUGGUGAGGUAAUGGCUCACCAAGGCGACGAUCAGUAGCUGGUCUGAGAGGAUGAUCAGCCACACUGGAACUGAGACACGGUCCAGACUCCUACGGGAGGCAGCAGUGGGGAAUAUUGGACAAUGGGCGCAAGCCUGAUCCAGCAAUGCCGCGUGGGUGAUGAAGGCCUUCGGGUUGUAAAGCCCUUUUGGCGGGGACGAUGAUGACGGUACCCGCCGAAUAAGCUCCGGCUAACUUCGUGCCAGCCGCCGCAGUAA
rnacentral:rRNA from 1 species